CAGCGUCGGCUGUUAGUGGCGGUGGGUUUGCAGGAAUGGACGGUAAAUGGACGAGCGGCGAGCUGAAGGAGACGGCGGGCAGCGUCGGCCGACCCGCGAGCAGUGGCUGGACGGGCGGCCACACCGCGAGCAGCGGCCGGGGGGAGCGGCCGACCACGCCACGAGCAGUGGCAGGGGGAGCGGUGGGCGGCCACGCCGCGAGCAGAGGCGGGGGGGGGGGGGGGGGUGAGGGGGGCGGAUGGACGACGAGCAGUGACGGCAGCCACGCCACAAGGAGCGGCGCCUAGGGUUGGGACUCCAUGGCUGGCGGCUACGGUUGGGAGAAGAACCGGUCUGCAAUGCGAACCAGCUUUGCUAAAGAUCCAGUUGUUAAAGCUAAAGUGAGGCCCUGAAGUGGCUGCUCGCGAUCAUCGCCCAGGGCUGCAACGUCUCCAACUUCUUCCCCCAGGUCGUCAAGAACGUCGCGUCCCAGUCCCUCGAAGUGAAGAAGCUCGUCUACUUGUACUUGCUGCAUUACGCUGAAAAGCGUCCAAAUGAAGCAUUGCUUUCGAUCAAUUGUUUCCAAAGGGACUUGGGGGGCACUAAUCCUUUGGUGAGGGUCUGGGCACUCUGUACAAUGGCUGGAAUUCGUCUUCAUAUAGUCGCGCCCCUCGUUCUUGUGGCCGUAAACAAGUGCGCGAGACAUCCAUCUGUUUAUGUCAGAAAGUGUGCUGCUAACGCUGUUCCCAAGUUGUUCGACUUGCGCAUUGAGGAAAAUACUUCUGCAAUCGAAGAGGUCGUACAUUGAAGGACCGGAUGAAUAUCUAUCACGUGCAACUUACAUUAAUAUGGAUUCACCGAAGUUAACUUCUGCAAGAUAUACAUCUGGGAAAAUUAAUGAUGAUAUUAAGAUCUUACUUCAAUGUACAUCACCACUGCUAUGGAGUUAUAAUAGUGCAGUGGUAGUUGCUGCUGCUACUGUACACUGGAUUAUGGCGCCAAUGGAGGAUGUCAAAAGGAUAGUUAAGCCGCUUUUGUUUGUCUUGCGAUCCUCUAAUGCCUCAAGAUACGUGAGCUGAUAAAUGUUGGGCAGAAGCAAGAUGCUCUGCAAGAACUUCACGAUCUUAUUACCUUGAAGAGAUCCCGUGCAUGGCAAAAUACCCUUGAGAGGAUUAUGUUCAAGUACAUUGAGCUAUGCGUUGAUAUGCGGAGGGGGAGAUUUGCCAAGGAUGGUCUGAUUGAGUAUCGCAUUGUAUGUCAACAAGUGAAUGUCACCUCUUUGGAGGAGGUGAUGAAGCACUCCAUGCAAAUCUUACAGGAGAAAGCAGAGCAGGCGCAAGAUUGAAAGUAUCUUUUCAUAUAUAUUGGGGAUAAGCUUUGC